GAUGAACGCUGGCGGCGUGCCUAAUACAUGCAAGACGAGCGAACGGACGAGAAGCUUGCUUCUCUGAUGUUAGCGGCGGACGGGUGAGUAACACGUGGAUAACCUACCUAUAAGACUGGGAUAACUUCGGGAAACCGGAGCUAAUACCGGAUAAUAUUUUGAACCGCAUGGUUCAAAAGUGAAAGACGGUCUUGCUGUCACUUAUAGAUGGAUCCGCGCUGCAUUAGCUAGUUGGUAAGGUAACGGCUUACCAAGGAAACGAUGCAUAGCCGACCUGAGAGGGUGAUCGGCCACACUGGAACUGAGACACGGUCCAGACUCCUACGGGAGGCAGCAGUAGGGAAUCUUCCGCAAUGGGCGAAAGCCUGACGGAGCAACGCCGCGUGAGUGAUGAAGGUCUUCGGAUCGUAAAACUCUGUUAUUAGGGAAGAACAUAUGUGUAAGUAACUGUGCACAUCUUGACGGUACCUAAUCAGAAAGCCACGGCUAACUACGUG
rnacentral:rRNA from 1 species